rnacentral:tRNA from 1 species
GCCCGGUUCGUAUAGUGGUUAGUAUUGGGGACUGUGAAUCCCUAGAGGCGAGUUCAAUUCUCGCAUCGGGCC